UACGUAGGGGGCAAGCGUUGUCCGGAAUCAUUGGGCGUAAAGAGCGUGUAGGCGGCUCGGUAAGUCCGCUGUAAAAGUCCAGGGCUCAACCCUGGAAAGCCGGUGGGAACUGUCGAGCUAGAGUCCGGAAGAGGCGAGUGGAAUUCCUGGUGUAGCGGUGAAAUGCGCAGAUAUCAGGAGGAACACCAAUGGCGAAGGCAGCUCGCUGGGACGGUACUGACGCUGAGACGCGAAAGCGUGGGGAGCAAACAGG
rnacentral:rRNA from 1 species